CCUAUCCCUCUAUUCUGGCAUUCUGCAGUUCAGUCCACAGAUACAACCCUUCCAUUUGUUGAUGCAACCAGAUGGUGGAUCCUUGGAGCCAAAUGCCACCACUGACGGAUACUAUUACGUGGAGACCGCCAACGACCAGGAGUAGUUUAGGAGGUCCCAGGCAAGAGGCCUUGCCUCUUUGAUCGUGUUGCUUUUGUGCUAGCCUUCUUAUUUCUAUACUCAGUUAUUGUUGCUUUCGCUAACUCUUGUGUAUCGAGCUUUGUAUUCAAGCCCUCGAGGCCCCUGUCUUGUAAUAUAAAGCUUGUAUUCUUUUAUU